rnacentral:rRNA from 1 species
AUUGAACGCUGGCGGCAGGCCUAACACAUGCAAGUCGAACGAGUGGCGGACGGGUGAGUAAUGUCUGGGAAACUGCCCGAUGGAGGGGGAUAACUACUGGAAACGGUAGCUAAUACCGCAUACCAUCGGAUGUGCCCAGAUGGGAUUAGCUAGUAGGUGGGGUAACGGCUCACCUAGGCGACGAUCCCUAGCUGGUCUGAGAGGAUGACCAGCCAAACGGGAACUGAGACACGGUCAAGACUCCUACGGGAGGCAGCAGUGGGGAAUAUUGCACAAGGGGCGCAAGCUUGAUGCAGCCAUGCCGCGUGUAUGAAGAAGGCCUGCGGGUUGUAAAGUACUUUCAGCGAGGAGGCGUUACUCGCAGAAGAAGCACCGGCUAACUCCGUGCCAGCAGCCGCGGUAAUAC